rnacentral:tRNA from 1 species
UCUAGAGAUAGAAAAUAGAGACUUAGGUCUCACAACACGAACUUUUGACACUUUCUUAAUCUUUGGAUUAAGUAUUUCGCUACUUUUAAUGGUUUUCUUAUAUAUAAUACAAUCAAUCAUAGGACAAGACUCUUAUAUAUUGUCAGUUUGAGGGGAAUUAGCUCAGCUGGCUAGAGCACCUGCCUUGCACGCAGGGGGUCAACGGUUCGAAUCCGUUAUUCUCCACUACAAGAGGAUAAUCAUAUGAUUGUACGUAUACACCACUAAUCAGCACGCAGAAAUAACUGUUGAUUAACCAACUUAACUUUUAGAGGUGACUCUAAUAAGGUUAAGGAUAGAUCUUUGACAUAAAGGACAUACAAGAAGAGAAAACGAGAGAAAGAGAAUUAGAGCGUAC